GGGUUGUGAGGUUAAGCGACCAAGCGUACACGGUGGAUGCCCUGGCAGUCAGAGGCGAUGAAGGACGUGCUAAUCUGCGAAAAGCGCCGGUAAGGUGAUAUGAACCGUUAUAACCGGCGAUGUCCGAAUGGGGAAACCCAGUGUGACUCGUCACACUAUCAUUAACUGAAUCCAUAGGUUAAUGAGGCGAACCGGGGGAACUGAAACAUCUAAGUACCCCGAGGAAAAGAAAUCAACCGAGAUUCCCCCAGUAGCGGCGAGCGAACGGGGAGGAGCCCAGAGCCUGAAUCAGCAUGUGUGUUAGUGGAAGCGUCUGGAAAGGCGCGCGAUACAGGGUGACAGCCCCGUACACAAAAGCGCACAUGCUGUGAGCUCGAUGAGUAGGGCGGGACACGUGGUAUCCUGUCUGAAUAUGGGGGGACCAUCCUCCAAGGCUAAAUACUCCUGACUGACCGAUAGUGAACCAGUACCGUGAGGGAAAGGCGAAAAGAACCCCGGCGAGGGGAGUGAAACAGAACCUGAAACCGUGUACGUACAAGCAGUGGGAGCCUCUCUUUAUGGGGGGUGACUGCGUACCUUUUGUAUAAUGGGUCAGCGACUUAUAUUCUGUAGCAAGGUUAACCGCAUAGGGGAGCCGAAGGGAAACCGAGUCUUAACCGGGCGUUAAGUUGCAGGGUAUAGACCCGAAACCCGGUGAUCUAGCCAUGGGCAGGUUGAAGGUUGGGUAACACUAACUGGAGGACCGAACCGACUAAUGUUGAAAAAUUAGCGGAUGACCUGUGGCUGGGGGUGAAAGGCCAAUCAAACCGGGAGAUAGCUGGUUCUCCCCGAAAGCUAUUUAGGUAGCGCCUCGUGAAUUCAUCUCCGGGGGUAGAGCACUGUUUCGGCUAGGGGGCCAUCCCGGCUUACCAACCCGAUGCAAACUGCGAAUACCGGAGAAUGUUAUCACGGGAGACACACGGCGGGUGCUAACGUCCGUCGUGAAGAGGGAAACAACCCAGACCGCCAGCUAAGGUCCCAAAGUCAUGGUUAAGUGGGAAACGAUGUGGGAAGGCCCAGACAGCCAGGAUGUUGGCUUAGAAGCAGCCAUCAUUUAAAGAAAGCGUAAUAGCUCACUGGUCGAGUCGGCCUGCGCGGAAGAUGUAACGGGGCUAAACCAUGCACCGAAGCUGCGGCAGCGACACUUUAGUGUUGUUGGGUAGGGGAGCGUUCUGUAAGCCGUUGAAGGUGUGUCGUGAGGCAUGCUGGAGGUAUCAGAAGUGCGAAUGCUGACAUAAGUAACGAUAAAGCGGGUGAAAAGCCCGCUCGCCGGAAGACCAAGGGUUCCUGUCCAACGUUAAUCGGGGCAGGGUGAGUCGACCCCUAAGGCGAGGCCGAAAGGCGUAGUCGAUGGGAAACGGGUUAAUAUUCCCGUACUUGGUGUUACUGCGAAGGGGGGACGGAGAAGGCUAUGUUGGCCGGGCGACGGUAGUCCCGGUUUAAGCGUGUAGGUGUGUGUUCCAGGUAAAUCCGGUUCACUUUAACACUGAGGCGUGAUGACGAGGCACCACGGUGCUGAAGCAACAAAUGCCCUGCUUCCAGGAAAAGCCUCUAAGCAUCAGGUAACAUCAAAUCGUACCCCAAACCGACACAGGUGGUCAGGUAGAGAAUACCAAGGCGCUUGAGAGAACUCGGGUGAAGGAACUAGGCAAAAUGGUGCCGUAACUUCGGGAGAAGGCACGCUGACACGUAGGUGAAGUGAUUUACUCAUGGAGCUGAAGUCAGUCGAAGAUACCAGCUGGCUGCAACUGUUUAUUAAAAACACAGCACUGUGCAAACACGAAAGUGGACGUAUACGGUGUGACGCCUGCCCGGUGCCGGAAGGUUAAUUGAUGGGGUCAGCGCAAGCGAAGCUCCUGAUCGAAGCCCCGGUAAACGGCGGCCGUAACUAUAACGGUCCUAAGGUAGCGAAAUUCCUUGUCGGGUAAGUUCCGACCUGCACGAAUGGCGUAAUGAUGGCCAGGCUGUCUCCACCCGAGACUCAGUGAAAUUGAACUCGCUGUGAAGAUGCAGUGUACCCGCGGCAAGACGGAAAGACCCCGUGAACCUUUACUAUAGCUUGACACUGAACAUUGAGCCUUGAUGUGUAGGAUAGGUGGGAGGCUUUGAAGCGUGGACGCCAGUCUGCGUGGAGCCGACCUUGAAAUACCACCCUUUAAUGUUUGAUGUUCUAACGUGGACCCGUAAUCCGGGUUGCGGACAGUGUCUGGUGGGUAGUUUGACUGGGGCGGUCUCCUCCUAAAGAGUAACGGAGGAGCACGAAGGUUGGCUAAUCCUGGUCGGACAUCAGGAGGUUAGUGCAAUGGCAUAAGCCAGCUUGACUGCGAGCGUGACGGCGCGAGCAGGUGCGAAAGCAGGUCAUAGUGAUCCGGUGGUUCUGAAUGGAAGGGCCAUCGCUCAACGGAUAAAAGGUACUCCGGGGAUAACAGGCUGAUACCGCCCAAGAGUUCAUAUCGACGGCGGUGUUUGGCACCUCGAUGUCGGCUCAUCACAUCCUGGGGCUGAAGUAGGUCCCAAGGGUAUGGCUGUUCGCCAUUUAAAGUGGUACGCGAGCUGGGUUUAGAACGUCGUGAGACAGUUCGGUCCCUAUCUGCCGUGGGCGCUGGAAGACUGAGGGGGGCUGCUCCUAGUACGAGAGGACCGGAGUGGACGCAUCACUGGUGUUCGGGUUGUCAUGCCAAUGGCACUGCCCGGUAGCUAAAUGCGGAAAAGAUAAGUGCUGAAAGCAUCUAAGCACGAAACUUGCCCCGAGAUGAGUCUUCCCUGAGACUUUGAGUCUCCUGAAGGAACGUUAAAGACGAUGACGUUGAUAGGCCGGGUGUGUAAGCGCAGCGAUGCGUUGAGCUAACCGGUACUAAUGAACCGUGAGGCUUAACCUUACAACGCCGAAGCUGUU
rnacentral:rRNA from 1 species